CAAUAGCGUAUAUUUAAGUUGUUGCAGUUAAAAAGCUCGUAGUCGGAUUUUGGCUGAGAACGAUCGGUCCGCCGUUAGGUGUGCACUGAUUGGUCUCAGCUUCCUGGUGAGGAGGUGUGCUUCACGGCCACUUAGUCACCAUGGUUACUUUGAAAAAAUUAGAGUGUUCAAAGCGGGCUUACGCUUGAAUAUAUUAGCAUGGAAUAACACCAUAGGACUCCUGUCCUAUUUCGUUGGUCUCGGGACGGGAGUAAUGAUUAAGAGGAACAGUUGGGGGCAUUCGUAUUUCAUUGUCAGAGGUGAAAUUCUUGGAUUUAUGAAAGACGAACUUCUGCGAAAGCAUUUGCCAAGGAUGUUUUCAUUGA
rnacentral:rRNA from 1 species